rnacentral:tRNA from 1 species
GGUGGCUCAGUGGUAGAGCACUUGCCUUGUAUGCAUGAGGCCCUGGGUUCUAUUCCUUAGCACUA